AUUUAUAUGCCACUCGUUCUGUCUUUAUCAAUCAUCGAAUCCAUCUCUUAUCUUAGUACCAUAGGAUUCGAUGUCUCGACCCAAUCCUUAUCUAUCCACUAUAGCAAGCAUUCCACUCAUACUACGAUAUCAUUUAGGAAAGCAUAAGGAAAUGGCAAUGCACAUUUAUCCUACAAUGCAUAUAUGCAAGAGAUGCUAGAUUAUAAUGCACUAAGACAUAAAGAGGAGCCGGGUUGCUUCGGGAUGACACUACCCACCUUCUGGUGUUGUCACGACUUUAGGAAUGCGAUUCGGCGAUUUUACGACGUCGUCUCGGCCUCCCAGGCGAAACGAAGCUCGGAAGGUCCUUAUUGUGAAUAACUUUGCACCCGCUCAACGAAUCUUCGAACCAUCUUCACCAACGCGUUUAAACACUUAGAAAUUAGGUUUACACUUGAUCAAUUUAGAUCAAUACCCAACAAAUCACAAAACCCCCAUUUUGGAGCCCUAACUUGCAAUCAUGCAAGAAUCCAUCUCUAAAUCCCCAAACUCAUGCAUUAAAAACUUAUUAAGCAUGCUAGAGUUCCAACUAAACCAAUUCUAGAGCACAAAAUCCAAACCCUAGAAAUCUAUCAUGGUUGAGCUUCAAGCUUACCUCCAAAAGCUAGCUCCAAUGGUGGAGAUAAAGAAGAAGAUGACGAAGAUCCUUCUCCUAGCUUGCUCCUCCACCAAAACCGACUCCUUCUUCACCUUCUAGAGAGAGAGAAAGAGAUCUUAGAGAGAGAGAGGGAGCUCUAGGUCACAAAAGGAGAGAAUGAGAGAAAGAGAGAGUUGUCUCCCAUCUAUACCCCUUCAUAAGUGCAUAAUUGCACAAAACACCCUCAUAAUGCAACCAUGACACAGCCCAGCCCUGGGCAUUUUCGAGCUACGGGGACCGGUCUCUCUAAGAGGGACCGGUCCCCGAGAGUGGCUUAUUUAUAGAAAAGGGCCCUCCCCCUUUUCCACGUUUACGGGGACCGGUCUCUCCAACGAGGGACCAGUCCCUGAGAGCACACUCUCGCAGGACAGCCCCCUUGCUCAAAUUGCAUACCUCGGGGACCGGUCUCUCCCGCCAGGGACCGGUCCCCGAGAGCAAGUUUUGUGCGCAGAGCCUUCUGCCACAUUUUCCAAGCUACGAGGACCGGUCUUUCCCACCAGGGACCGGUCUCCGAGAGCAAAAUCUGCAAUUGUGCAGAUUUGCACCAUUUGCUCUCCGAGGCCCUCCUCUAAUACACUUUUUGGGUUUCUGACGCCUUCGGCCUUUUCGAAGCAUACCCAACCGACAAUCAGUCGAUUUUAAUCGAAAUCCAACUCUCGCAUUUUGAGAAUUCACUUUCUUACAGUACCGGUACCUACUUGUCACGUACCGGUACCGAGCCCAAGUACCGGUACUACAUCGGGCGAUUACCGGUACCUAGUAUACGAGACAGUAGAUUGAGAGGCCGAGUAUCGAUAUUCAAGUUGAGUACCGAUACUCCAACUGUAAUUUUGAGUUGGUGAGGGGUAGUUUGGUCCUUUGAAAUGUCAUUCAUUCUUAUAUAACCCAGCCUUUAUAUGUUUACAGAAAGAGCUUUAGAGAAGGAAAUUCUACUUCUUUUCCUCUCUCUCUAGCUAGUGGACACCGUAUGUUGUAGAGGUCGCGACUCGAGCUCGGGUGGAUUUCGACGUUGCUCCGGAGGACCGUUUGUGCGCGUGAGUGUCGCGAUUACGUCGUUGGAGGUCAGGCGAGCACGUUGGUUCCCUCCUAUCGACUUCUAACCGACGUUGGACGAGCGUUCGAGGUGGGUUGAUGUUUACCGAAAUUGUCGGAUUUCCUUUUAUGUCCUAAAAGUAUCAGCAUGUAUAAUUUUCAUGUGUAGUAUUAUGUUUAGUAGCUUGAAUUCAUUGAUUGGUAUAGUUUUGUGAAAUCUGAAUUUGGAGCCUUAUUGUUGAUAUAUUUUACAUGUUGAACUUGGAAUUGACUUAGGAGAAAACACGUUAUAACCUACACUGUUAUUUUUCUGAAAAGUUAUCAAAUUUAGCUUUAGGAGCUGUGGUUCUUUUGGUAUUCUCGUUGUUAGUGCGUGCUGGAUACCCAGAUUAGUGUAGGAUGAGUUUACGCUCGUGUUGGGAGGUUGAGCUUGUUUUACAGUUGUGUGUAGACUGUUUUGUAUUGUCGGGUGCCAUUGUGGUUGACGGUGGACCCAGAUUUGCAUCAGAUUGUGUCAAGGACACGUGAGCUUUGGUUGUUAGACCAGUUAGACCUUUUUACAUUGACUACAGCCUGUGAGAAUUUGAUUGAGCUCGGCAGAGACACGCUUGCAUACUCGGUUGGGUCGCGCCCACGAGUGCAGCUCCGGAAUGAGGCUUUUACUUGCGUUGAUGUCGCAGCCGUCCUGUUUUGGACUGUUUACUUAGACCGGCCAUCCCCGUUGGUGGUGUACGGUGCAGCUUGGUUACAGACAUGGUGGAUUCGUUUGGGCAGCCCUAGUGAGAUUGGGUCAGUGUGAUAUAUGUUUUGUUUAUCUACAGAUAACAUAUGUGGGUUAGCGAUAAUACA
rnacentral:lncRNA from 1 species